rnacentral:lncRNA from 1 species
AAGUAGGCAGCUCACGCUUUGCAAAUUAAAGCUUGUGCAAUAUUAGUUUUGCUGUAAAAGCUGUGCGCCAAGUUUUUGCCUUUUUUAUGUGAUGAAUGAACGUGUUUUAAGUAAUGUUGCUAUGGUUUUGGCUGUAUCUGGUAGUGCUGUUCGGCUUUGUAGCAGUGUGCUUUAGAACUGGAUUUGCCUUUUUAUAUAUGAUUGUCGCCCUGUACAUUGCUGACUAUCAGUAUUACUUGCUGCAUGAAUAAUUGGAAGCCUCGGCUGCUUUGUGGUAAGCUGGUAACUGGCGUUGCUCGGUUUCCUGGAACUCUGCUUCCAACCGUACCGAACUUUUUGAGUCAUCAUAAAUUCCAACCAGAUUUGCAAGGGCCGAGUCUGAAGGCAAGGGAAACAUUACGAGUCUCCAACCACUGCAACUGACGCUGGCAGCACUUUGUUUAGCCUCGUGAUUUCAAUUCCACGGCAGGCGAUGCUGCGGAUGCGCUGUCUACCGCAGUGAGCUGUGAACUGGUCAACGGAGGAGUUCAGGGUCUUCCUUGUACAUGAGCCCCGUAGACCUUCGGCUUGCAUGGUGUGCGCCGAUUGCCAGCCAACUUUUUUGACCUGCUUUAAUCUAAUCGCACCGCACAGCUCGCUACAGAAAUAUAAACAAACACUCUCUGACCGCUUCAAUGACUCGGCAAGAAAAAUUAGAUAAAUGUGUGAACGCACCGACGGCAACGAUGACGCCUACGAAAGCGCGAUAGACAGCUGCUGUUUGUGAAUUAUACCAUGUCACACACAUAUAGCUAAAAAGACAGCUUGUACAAUAAGUCAUCUAUUUAGCUGUCUGCAAGGUAUUUAAUUCAUCCAUAAGGUAAUCAAGUAUAAAUUUGAUCUUUGUAAUUAUUUUAGUGCUUGAAUAAGAGAAUGCAUGAUAUAUUCAAAUAAGUAACAUGAAUCUCUUAGAGAAGCAUAAAUAUAAUAUAUAUUUACAUCAACAGGCACUCCGAAUAGUUGCAGAUGACAAAAAAUGAGAUGAAAAAUAGGUCCGACAUCUAAAGACCUGUUGUGAACACAACCAGCUCACACUAGUUCACACAAGUGAUCUGAACACAACCAGUUCACAUGUUCACUCAAAAGACUUGAUCACACAACCAUUUCUUCGUAAUUGAAGCUGCCAUCCAAAAAGAAAUGUGACCCAAAGAGCCUGAUAAUGUAUGAUAUAUUCAAAUGAAGUCACUCUGCUCGCAAGCAUCCACCAUUCAUGUUACUUAUUUGAUUAGAAGAUAAUGUGACCCAAAAAGCCUGAAUAGGCAUAACAACAUGGCUAUCUUACUUGUCCAUUGCUAUAUUUAUUUUUUUGCCUAAUAGAGUUAACCACUGAUCAUAGAGUAUUACUGCUAAAAUGGAGCACCCUGGGUACUCACUAGCAGUAUGUGUGAACUGAAAAAGUUGAACUAAUUCGCCCAACCGCAUCAGCAUGUAACUCACUAGCAGUAUCAUAGAGUAUACGGGAUUUGGGGAGGGGACAAAAGGCUUGCUCGAGAGGAUUUUGCUGCCGUCCCGCAGGAAAAUCGCACUCGCGCACAUGGGAUCCGCGGCGCCGGCGACGACUCGCAGCGGACCGUACAACGUGUGGCGAGAGGGGACGACUCGCUUCAGAGCAUGCGCCCGCGCCGUCAACAAACGAGAUGCCGGCUCCUUACUCUUUCUUCAUUUAAUGAUGUACACUGAGGACUAAUUUGCUGAUGUGGCGGUAAAAAGAUGAGGAUCGGAUGGUGCGUCUCUCUCCCUACGCGAGUCCUCUGCCGGACCUCUGCUGCGACGGGGCAGUGCCACCGCGAUUGUCACCGUCACCGACAGGAGGACCCAGCUGGGAGCAGGUGCAUGAUGGACUGCGUGCAGGGGAAGCAAACCCAUGCACGUGCACAGACCCACACCUGCCUCCCACACGCCUGGAUACUGAGCCAUGGAGGUUAGAGACAUGGCCUCACCUAGUAUGGAGGGGAGACCCAAGUACGCCACCUAAUCGCCAUCCCUCGUGCUCAUCUACUCCCACCCGUCUCCAACCCACAGUCACCCCCUCCACCUCCGCCGUCGCACCCACCCCAAAACCUAAUCCGGUGAACCCUUGGUGUUCAUUGGUGGGGAGACCUUCACCUUCUCCAAAUCCACCUGGUGGUAUCGCAUGGGGUGCCGAUUUGGGAGGAUUUGAUAGGAAUCUCGACCACCUAUGGCAGAGAAGCGAAUCGGUAGGCAAGUGUCAGGAAAUCCGAGUUCCCACAAUGAAAUCCCCUUCCGCUGGUCGAGAAUCCACGUCCGUUCCCCUCCGAGGUGCGGAUUCAACGUGGUCGACCCUAGGAGGCGACACCAGAUCAUUCGCUUAGGUUCUGAAAAGCAAUCCGCCACAACCACAUCAGAUGGAUGAGGGGAGUAGCUAUGGGGCGCAGAUACCUCCCCGAGGAGGAGGGAGAUCUGGACGAGACAUAGGAGGCCAUAGAAGAGAGGACGCCCAGAAAACAGAAGGCCGCGUCAACUAUGGACAAUGGGAUGAUAGGCGAGGCAAUUUCAGAGGAGGAAGAUACAGCAAUCAGCACCGGAGACAAAGAGAGUCAGAGAGAAAUCUGAAUCAAAACUUCAACAGGAACCAUCAGUUUGACCUAAGGAACAACCUGAAUCAAGGGAGAGAGAGAGAAUACUUGAGCAAAACACAAGAAGAUGGCGGAGAUAAAGAAGUGCAGCAGCAAGAAGCAGCCAAGCCCCCAAUAAAUAAAGGAAUUCAUGAUAUAGAAAUGAUUGAUAAUUCUGGGAGGAGGGAUCAGAACUUGAAAAGAGAGGAAGACAGGAUGCCGGAUGAAAACAAAACCAACAUGGGGAUCUGUAAGAAGUGUGGCAAAAUAGGUCAUAGAACAAAAGAUUGCUACAAGCCUUUAUUAUGUCCUAGGUGCAAGAAGGAAGGCCAUGUGCCAAGAGCCUGUCUAGAGAUCAUGCCCUAUGAGUGUAUAGCCCCCUUCCGUGGGCUUGCAACUUCCAUAUAAUAUUGGAUGAUGAUUAUGGUGAUGCAACGAAGGACAUGGCUAAUUGUGCACUCAUUACCAUCAAAGAGGGUGAGGUGACAGCAAGACAAGUGGAAGGGGAAUUCAAGGUUGGUCCGACUUCGACUUGGAGAUGGUAUGCUAAGAAAGUUGUUGAGAACAAAUUCCAAAUAAAAUUUCCAACCGCAAGAAAGGUGGAAGAGUUGUCCUUCUUCACAGGGAUGCAAAUGAGGAUGGUGCUAGACGUAUCUUUCAAAGUGGAGCAAUGGAACCCUCAUGCUGGUGCUAAAGCUGAAAUAAGCUUAGCAUGGUUUAGGAUCUUUGGGAUACGUUCAAAAAAAAAA